ACGCUACAUUCAAUACAACGAUAACCUGUAGGUCAUAUCGGUAAAAAGAUCUUUACAAAUACAAAGCCCAAACAAUCGCGAAUAAAUAAAUUAUUCAAGAUUCCUUGCUAAAUAAUAAACGGAAUUUAUUUAUGAGUAAUCACUACGGUUUAAGUUUGCUGUGAAAUGUUCACACUGUAUUCAAUCUAUUCAUCUGUGCAUUCUCGUGUAGACACAUACCGAUGGAGUUUUUUUUAUAUUUUGCAGAAGUGGAAUUGAUUAUAAAUUGGCACAUAUCACAGUGACCUGCUAGAAAUGUCAGGAGCUUUACAAAGGAGCUAACAAGUGCAGUGAAUUACAAGUGUUCUCCACAUUAGAUGCCUAUUAUUAAUAUAGUUAAAAUUAGAUAACCAGCGGUAAGAUUAUAAAACCAGGAUUUGACUUCAACUACAAUUUUUGCAUGUUUGAUGCAGAAUUGUGUCAAACCAAGAUUUUACAAAGUCACGCAUUAAAUAUCAAAUUAAUGAGUAGAGAUUUCACAUUUCCAGUUUUUAAUUAAUCAUUAAAUAUGUAUUGGCCUUAAUGAAAUCAUUUGAGAAAUUGGC